CUUUAACUUAAGAGAGAUAAUUAUUAAUAACCUCUGGAUGUAGGGAAAUAUUUCACACUUGCACAAUUAGCGGUUACCGCUAUUCUAAAUUAUAGGCACAUAGACUUUUAAUAGAUAGGGAGCAUAUAGCUUCAGUUCCAUGACUUCAGCUACAGAGCAAAAGUAAACACAGAAAUACAAAAACUCACCCAACCUGAUCUCAAAUAUUUGGCUGAUUGAAUUGAGCUCACAAAGAUACAAAUAGACCAACAAACAAUCAAACAAACCAGAUUCUCUGUAACCUGCCAUCUAAUGGAAAAUAAAUCUGCACCUUCCAUUCAACAGAGGUCCCCAAAUCAUCAGACCGUAUCAGCAAAUUUCCAAUCAUUGCUGCCAUUAGUGGGGAAUAAUUGAUUGGUCUUGCAUGAACCAGAAACAAAAACUUAACCACAAAAUAAGGAAGAAAAAAAACACCGGAAUCAGUAAAGUUAGUUUUAUCACUGCUUGAAAUUCACUCUGGAAGUGAAGAAAAGAUGAGUCUGGCUUAAGCAACCCAUGGAUGCACUUCUCAAGCAAGGCAGUUAAUUGGCUCUGUCAGAAAUUAUUUGCAUCUCCACCAGAGAAAACCCACAAGUGAAUCUCCCCCAUGGAAUGGUGAAACAGCCCAGUGAGGAGGAAGUCAAUGGAAGUUUGCCAGGAAAGCCGCUGUCUCAAGAAUAUCAGGGAGCGGAGGCAUCCGAGACCUCAACUCCUUGACUCCCUGCGCUCGAACCCGCCUCAAACAGGAAGAUGAGACAAAGGUGAAGGACGCCCAGCUGCCAUCCUCCUAUCUCACCAUUCCCCCCGCCUGGCUGCAAGCAGCCUCUCAAGGCCAAACUCAGGCUGGUGGAAAAGCGCUGACCUGCACAAGCUACAUGUUCCCCCUGCCCUACCCAAAACCCCAAAUAAAAAUUCCUACCCCUUCCUCGUCGGGGAGCUAGCAAUUUUUGAGGCAUGAGCCCUUGCUUUGCUCCCUGUGCCUGGCAUAGUAAAAACCUUUCCUCUUCCACUCAAGACUCUGUUCUUGUUAUUUGGAUUGGCAUUGGGUU
rnacentral:lncRNA from 1 species